AUCUUUAUAUACUUGUUCACCGCUUGACAGAAAAGACACAAAUUGCAACAGGAUCAUAGGCUCGUUUUGAAAAGAUUGACAGAUGGCUAAUUUGGGUGUUUAAGAAAUUAAUCCCCAUUUUUGUUUAUGGACAUUGUAUAUGUUAGCAUCGUUAACCCGAAUAAUUCAGUCGUUAUAUUCCGCUUACUACAUUAACUCUCACAAGUAGGAGAGAUCGAUUACGGGGAGGGACUGAAUUAUUCGGGUUUAAUAUGUGCUGAUGUGUGCCAUAUUGUUACUCACUUACUGCUUACUGUUACUGUUAACAACUAUAUAUUAUCUUCCAUAUUGAUACCUUUUAGGUUUCCCCGGG
rnacentral:lncRNA from 1 species